CAGCUGUCCCGUGGGCCCCCUGCCCGCAGCCAGGACUGAACAGCCCACCGGGAUACUGAGAAAUAUCCCAGUGGGCUGCGGCAAGUGAAGUAAUCAGGGCCCCCCGGCCCUUUAAUGGAGCACCCGACCGGGCCCCUGUCUGUAUGCCUGCUGGGAGGAAGUGAGGUGAGAUCACUUCCUCCCAAGUAACAGAGUGCCGCUGGGGAGGAGGAGACACACAUGGAAGUGGAGGAGAGGGAGGAUGCACACACAGGAGGAGGAGGUGAAGGAGAGGGACUGAGGUAAACAUGUUCAUCAGACUCCCAUCAACCUCAGCCAUCCAGCUUCCACUGGACCCCAGGGAAGCCACCCUUCUCUAAAGGUAAGGAGACAAGAGGGUGGCUAGACUUAAAUUGAUAUAAAUGUGUGUAUAUCUGACUGUAUGUGUAUAUCUGACUGUAUG